CUACGGGGUGCUGCAGUGGGGAAUAUUGCACAAUGGGCGCAAGCCUGAUGCAGCCAUGCCGCGUGUAUGAAGAAGGCCUUCGGGUUGUAAAGUACUUUCAGCGGGGAGGAAGGGAGUAAAGUUAAUACCUUUGCUCAUUGACGUUACCCGCAGAAGAAGCACCGGCUAAGUCCGUGCCAGCAGCCGCGGUAAUACGGAGGGUGCAAGCGUUAAUCGGAAUUACUGGGCGUAAAGCGCACGCAGGCGGGUUGUUAAGUCAGAUGUGAAAUCCCCGGGCUCAACCUGGGAACUGCAUCUGAUACUGGCAAGCUUGAGUCUCGUAGAGGGGGGUAGAAUUCCAGGUGUAGCGGUGAAAUGCGUAGAGAUCUGGAGGAAUACCGGUGGCGAAGGCGGCCCCCUGGACGAAGACUGACGCUCAGGUGCGAAAGCGUGGGGAGCAAACAGGAUUAGAUACCCUCGUAGUC
rnacentral:rRNA from 1 species